GACUAAGGUUGACCGCAUGACCAGUCAGCCAUGGCUAUGUGACUGAGCCACAAUAAAAUCUGUAGACACCAAGGCUCAGGGUCUCAUUAAGAAGAAUCUACUGUCUCUGGUCAAAGAGCUGCCUACAAGUGUAACCUGGAGAGACAGCAGAGAAAGGCAAUGCCUUUAGUCGGUGUGCAUAAUGAAAUCUGUGGGAAGAAGUAACACCCUUGAUAUGUCAGCCACAAUAUGGUUUCUGUCUAAUUGAAUCCAUUCGUCAUUACAUUAAAAAAGAAGCUGAUGCAAUUGAAAAGAACAGAGUCACCUAGGCUUUAUGAAUGAAAGUCAGCAGCCUUUCACAGCUAGACAAAUAAAGCCAGCUUGGGACGACCAGACAAUGUCUCCUCUAUGUUUAUGCCUCUAAAUCACACUGUGAGUAGCCACCGCUUUUCUCUCUUGGGGAAAACAAACAAGUUUGGAAUUACAAAGACUAGAGUGGGAAGUCUCUGAUCUACCAAGGAAAAAAGAGCAAGAUACAAGAUAUGAAUAUGAUGUCCAUCUAAUGUGCAUAUAUAUGUGAUAUUUUUAUGAUGCAAAAUUUUAAUGAUUUGUAUUGAAUACUGUGAUGUAAUAUUUUUAUGAGAGAAAAAGGUAAAGAAAGACUCUACCCUGUUAAUAUUGGGUAUGUUUACUCCCUUUGGGGAAUUGGAGAUGGGAUUAGUGUGGGAAAUUAUUAACUUAAUUUUUUAUACCUUUAUAGUAGAAUAUGACAUCAAGUAAUUAUAGAAUACUACAAGUAGAAUACUAUAAC
ensembl:lncRNA